UGGACAUUCGGGAGCCACAUUGUGAACAGUCAGGUCGGCUACUUAACAGUUUUUCAGGAAAAAUGCCAUCAGUGAGAGAAGCAAUCAAGGCAAAGGGCUAGAUGCUCCCAAGAAUACAAAGAUAAAGAAGAUUGCCUGCAGUUGCCCAGAUGCCUGCUCUUCACCCUUUCAAUGCUGCUUAAAGAAAUGCAAGUGCCAAAAAUGGUGCUGAAGAACUUUCCUAGCUGGACAGAAAAGUUUUGAAAAGAGAGCUGCAUUUUUAAUAGACUAACUUAUAUCUUAUUCAAAUUUUAGGAAAGAAUCCUCUCAUUGUGAGUUUCUUUUUUUUCUGAAAAUAAGAAAUGACUCUAGAAGAAAAUACAAUCUGUGAGCAUGAUUCAAGGAUUUUCUUGCCACCCAUGCCUGGUUCUCUGUAGGGCUAAAGUGAUAGACACAUGACAAAAGGUACCCUCCCCCACCUCCAUAAUGAGCAGCCAAGCUUUUACUCUUAUGGCUCUUUGUUUCUGGGGACUAGAGGCAAAGGGUACCACUUUCAGGCUAGCACAACUUUCUUCCCUUCUGAACACCUCCCUACUCCACAUCCUACUAUGUUCUGGCAGAUAGAGUUUCAACACGAUUGUAAAGAUGCUAGGCAUCCCUUUGGAAUCCUAGAAAAGCAGAAUUGUGCAGGAGAAUGUCACUCAUUUUGGUUACUACCCCAGAUCUGUGAGGGGAAAUGGAAAAAGGAUGAAGUCUCCUACUCUAUUUUUUCCAUUCUUUUAAAUAAGGGAUUCUGUCUUAUUUAAGGACAAAGCAUCAUUGGGCCAUAUGGUUUUUCUUCAACUAGUUCCAUGAGCCUUAUAGUUAGAAAUAUAUUCCUAAUGCUGGCCUUAGAUAAGUUGUAUUAAUUUUCAGCAUUGUUAUAAGAUCUCUGGAACUUCAAAGAUAUUUGAGUUGGAAAGCGAAGAGGCUAACUCAACAUGCUUUUAAAUGAAAAAACCUAACUUUACCAGUUUUCACAUUAAAGAAAUUUAUGUCUUUUGGCCACACACACACAAAUCCAC
rnacentral:lncRNA from 1 species